GAUGAACGCUGGCGGCGUGCCUAAUACAUGCAAGUCGAACGCUGAAGGAAGGAGCUUGCUCUUUCCGGAUGAGUUGCGAACGGGUGAGUAACGCGUAGGUAACCUGCCUGGUAGCGGGGGAUAACUAUUGGAAACGAUAGCUAAUACCGCAUAACAGUAGAUGUUGCAUGAUAUCUACUUAAAAGGUGCAAUUGCACCACUACCAGAUGGACCUGCGUUGUAUUAGCUAGUUGGUGAGGUAACGGCUCACCAAGGCGACGAUACAUAGCCGACCUGAGAGGGUGAUCGGCCACACUGGGACUGAGACACGGCCCAGACUCCUACGGGAGGCAGCAGUAGGGAAUCUUCGGCAAUGGACGGAAGUCUGACCGAGCAACGCCGCGUGAGUGAAGAAGGGUGUCGGAUCGUAAAGCUCUGUUGUAAGAGAAGAACGAGUGUGAGAGUGGAAAGUUCACACUGUGACGGUAUCUUACCAGAAAGGGACGGCUAACUACGUG
rnacentral:rRNA from 1 species